UACGUAGGGAGCGAGCGUUGUCCGGAAUUACUGGGUGUAAAGGGCGUGUAGGCGGGCUGUCAAGUCAGAUGUGAAAUUCCCGGGCUCAACCCGGGCGCUGCAUUUGAAACUGAUGGUCUUGAGUGCUGGAGAGGAAAGCGGAAUUCCUAGUGUAGCGGUGAAAUGCGUAGAUAUUAGGAGGAACACCAGUGGCGAAGGCGGCUUUCUGGACAGUAACUGACGCUGAGGCGCGAAAGCGUGGGGAGCAAACAGGAUUAGAUACCCUGGUAGUCCACGCUGUAAACGAUGAUUACUAGGUGUGGGGGGUAUCGACCCCCUCCGUGCCGGAGUUAACACAAUAAGUAAUCCACCUGGGGAGUACGGCCGCAAGGUUGAA
rnacentral:rRNA from 1 species